GAGUGAAGCACAUCCAUUCAGUCCCAAGGCCACUGUAAGCUACUGGCAGCAGAAAUGAUUUGCUAGAAAGAUAUCACUUGCAUUGGAGCUCUUGUUAACUGAAAAGGCCAUGGUGCUCCAAACUCAGGCCCGAGCAUGCUGCAGGGACGUUACCAUAGUAACUGAGCUUUGAGCUCACAGGGGUAUAAACCUGUUCCAGCAUGACAGUGCCCACGUGCACAAAGUGAGGUCCAUGAAGACAUGGUUUUCCAAGGUUGGAGUGGAAAACCUCAAGUAGUCUGCACAGAGUCCUGACCUCAACCCCACUGAACACCUUUGGGAUUAACUGGAACAUCAACUGCACCCCAGGCCUCCUCAAUAAACAUCAGUGCCUGACCACACUAAUGUACUAAUAAUCCCCACAGCCAUGAUCCAAAGCUUAUCCUAAAGCCUUCACAGAAGAGUAGAGGUUAUUAUUACAGCAAAGGGGAAAUGAGAUGUUUAAAAAGCACAUAUGAAUGUGAUGA